rnacentral:rRNA from 1 species
UACGUAGGCAGCGAGCGUUGUUCGGAGUUACUGGGCGUAAAGGGUGUGUAGGCGGCUUUCUAAGUUUGGUGUGAAAUCUCCCGGCUCAACCGGGAGGGUGCGCCGAAAACUGGGAGACUAGAGUGCGGGAUGGGAGAGUAGAAUUACCUGGUGUAGCGGUGAAAUGCGUAGAUAUCAGGAGGAAUACCGGUGGUGUAGACGGCUCUCUGGACCGCCACUGACGCUGAGACACGAAAGCGUGGGUAGCAAACAGG